GGCUCUGUAGUUCAACGGAUAGAAUAUGAGUUUCCGAAACUCAGGAUGAAGGUUCGAUCCCUUCCGGAGCUA
rnacentral:tRNA from 1 species